CCUACGGGAGGCAGCAGUGAGGAAUAUUGGUCAAUGGGCGGGAGCCUGAACCAGCCAAGCCGCGUGAGGGAAGAAGGUACAGCGUAUCGUAAACCUCUUUUGUCAGGGAACAAAGGCGGGGACUAGUCCCCGGAUGAGGGUACCUGAAGAAAAAGCAUCGGCUAACUCCGUGCCAGGAGCCGCGGUAAUACGGAGGAUGCGAGCGUUGUCCGGAUUUAGUGGGUGUAAAGGGUGCGCAGGCGGCCUGUUAAGUCAGCGGUAAAAGCCCGGGGCUCAACCCCGGCGAGCCGUUGAAACUGGCGGGCUGGAGUUGGAGAGAAGUACGCGGAAUGCGCGGUGUAGCGGUGAAAUGCUUAGAUAUCGCGCAGAACCCCGAUUGCGAAGGCAGCGUACCGGCUCCACACUGACGCUGAGGCACGAAAGCGUGGGUAUCGAACAGGAUUAGAUACCCCUGUAGUC
rnacentral:rRNA from 1 species